rnacentral:rRNA from 1 species
AGAGUUUGAUCAUGGCUCAGAAUCAACGCUGGCGGCGUGCCUAACACAUGCAAGUCGCACGAGAAAGGGGAGCAAUCCCUGAGUAAAGUGGCGCACGGGUGAGUAACACGUGAAUAAUCUACCUCCGAGUGGGGAAUAACUGAGAGAAAUCUUAGCUAAUACCGCAUAACACUUACGAGUCAAAGCAGCAAUGCGCUUGGAGAGGAGUUCGCGGCCGAUUAGUUUGUUGGCGGGGUAAUGGCCCACCAAGACGAUGAUCGGUAUCCGGCCUGAGAGGGCGCACGGACACACUGGAACUGAAACACGGUCCAGACUCCUACGGGAGGCAGCAGUGGGGAAUUUUGCGCAAUGGGGGAAACCCUGACGCAGCAACGCCGCGUGGAGGAUGAAAUAUCUUGGUAUGUAAACUCCUUUCGAUGGGGAAGAUUAUGACGGUACCCAUAGAAGAAGCCCCGGCUAACUUCGUGCCAGCAGCCGCGGUAAUACGAGGGGGGCAAGCGUUGUUCGGAUUUAUUGGGCGUAAAGGGUGCGUAGGCGGUUUGGCAAGUCUGAUGUGAAAUCUAUGGGCUCAACCCAUAGUCUGCAUCAGAAACUGCCGGGCUUGAGUAUGGGAGAGGUGAGUGGAAUUUCCGGUGUAGCGGUGAAAUGCGUAGAUAUCGGAAGGAACACCUGUGGCGAAAGCGGCUCACUGGACCAUUACUGACGCUGAUGUACGAAAGCUAGGGGAGCAAACAGGAUUAGAUACCCUAGUAGUCC